UUAAACAGUCCUUGUUUUUAUUAUCUUUAGAGUAUUACUGAAAGUAAGGUGAAAAAAUAGAGUAUUAUUGAAAGUAAGGUGACAAAAUAGUGGCCUUAUGGAAAAAAGUCUUUGUUUACAAAAAGCAUGUUAACGUUCAUCAUUUCCAUUCUAUCCGCGGUUCUAGUACGAGUUAAUUGCGACUACAAAUGUAUUUGCAACUACAAUGUCGAAAAGUCUGUUUUUCAAACGACCUCCAGUAGUGGGAAGUUAUUAGGAUAUAUGUACGAGUUUGACUGUAAACCAUCGGCUGGGGUCACAGCAGCUAGUGGUUGGUUGGCAUUAGCAUUUGAACAUAAGUUAGGUUUUGUUGAAGAAGAUGCGCAGUUACAAGUACAAACAUGUCCAGGGAGCAUACCGGACGAGGAUAAAU